rnacentral:rRNA from 1 species
AUGAGUCGACCUGAUGGGAUCAACAUCCCCGGUGACAAGUUCUACCUUGGAGAUGCUGGCUAUACAUGUCGGCCGGGUAUUCUUCCACCCUUCAGGAAAACCAGGUACCAUCUCAAUGAGUUCUCUGGUAGGAACUAUCCUAGGACUGCACAGGAGUUGUAUAAUCUCAGACACUCCAGCCUUAGAUUAACUGUUGAGAGGGCAUUUGGAGCUCUGAAGAAUAGGUUUAAGAUCCUGGAUCAAAAGCCAUUUCACCCAUACCCCACUCAGGUUAAGCUUGUUCUUGCUUGUUGCAUUCUGCAUAACUGGAUCCUCCAGUGGGGCUUUGAUGAACACGUGCCUGAGGAGAAAGAGGUCGAGCCUGACGAUAUUGUUAGCUCUGGCCAUGGUGUGGAGUCAUUUGACAAUGACGCUAGGAAGAACAAAAUGUUGGAGUGGGCAGAGGCAUGUGGCUUAACAGAGGUCAGUGCAUGA